rnacentral:misc_RNA from 1 species
AGCUCCCCGGCGCAAGGGAAAUGGCCUCCGCUUACCGACAUCGCGCUGAGGAAUAAUUUCGAUAAGUGUCGUUCUCAGCCGUAAUACGUUUUCAGCGGUCAUCCUGGUCCACAAAAUACCCACUUGGAAUCCUACUUACCGCGUAUGCUACUCAAACUGAGCCUAUGCUGUCAUAAUAAGCGGCCGACGAACAAUGAACCGUGGUGGAUUGGUCAGCGCUCAAAAA